rnacentral:rRNA from 1 species
ACUCCUACGGGAGGCAGCAGUGGGGAAUAUUGCACAAUGGGCGCAAGCCUGAUGCAGCCAUGCCGCGUGUAUGAAGAAGGCCUUCGGGUUGUAAAGUACUUUCAGCAGUGAGGAAGGUGGGUAUGUUAAUAGCAUAUUCAUUUGACGUUAGCUGCAGAAGAAGCACCGGCUAACUCCGUGCCAGCAGCCGCGGUAAUACGGAGGGUGCGAGCGUUAUCCGGAAUCAUUGGGUUUAAAGGGUCCGCAGGCGGUCAAUUAAGUCAGAGGUGAAAUCCUAUAGCUUAACUAUAGAACUGCCUUUUGAUACUGGUUGACUUGAGUUAUACGGAAGUAGGUAGAAUGUGUAGUGUAGCGGUGAAAUGCAUAGAUAUUACACAGAAUACCGAUUGCGAAGGCAGCCUACUACGUAUAUACUGACGCUCAUGGACGAAAGCGUGGGGAGCGAACAGGAUUAGAUACCCUGGUAGGGCUACGAGU